ACUCCUACGGGAGGCAGCAGUGGGGAAUAUUGGACAAUGGGCGGAAGCCUGAUCCAGCAAUACCGCGUGUGUGAAGAAGGCCUGAGGGUUGUAAAGCACUUUCAAUUGGGAGGAAAACAGGCAGGUUAAUAUCCUGUCUCUUGACAUUACCUUUAGAAGAAGCACCGGCUAACUCCGUGCCAGCAGCCGCGGUAAUACGGAGGGUGCGAGCGUUAAUCGGAAUUACUGGGCGUAAAGAGUUCGUAGGUGGUUUGUUAAGUUAGAUGUGAAAGCCCCGGGCUCAACCUGGGAACUGCAUUUAAAACUGGCAAACUCGAGUUUAGGAGAGGGAAGUGGAAUUUCAGGUGUAGCAGUGAAAUGCGUAGAGAUCUGAAGGAACACCAGUGGCGAAGGCGACUUCCUGGACUAAAACUGACGCUGAGGAACGAAAGCGUGGGUAGCAAACGGGAUUAGAUACCCCGGUAGUCCACGCCGUAAACGAUGUCAACUAGCCGUUGGGUCUAUUUAUAGGCUUAGUGGCGGAGCUAACGUAUUAAGUUGACCGCCUGGGGAGUACGGCCGCAAGGUUAAAACUCAAAUGAAUUGACGGGGGCCCGCACAAGCGGUGGAGCAUGUGGUUUAAUUCGAUGCAACGCGAAGAACCUUACCUACCCUUGACAUCCAGAGAAUCUGUUAGAGAUAGUAGAGUGCCUUCGGGAACUCUGAGACAGGUGCUGCAUGGCUGUCGUCAGCUCGUGUCGUGAGAUGUUGGGUUAAGUCCCGCAACGAGCGCAACCCUCGUCACUAGUUACUAACGAUUCGGUCGAGGACUCUAGUGAGACUGCCUUCGUAAGGAGGAGGAAGGUGAGGACGACGUCAAGUCAUCAUGGCCCUUACGGCUAGGGCAACACACGUGCUACAAUGGUUAGGACAAUGAGAGGCGAUACCGCGAGG
rnacentral:rRNA from 1 species